UUAACACCAUGUACAUGUGCAAACUGAGUAAUUGAGCUUGGUCACGCAACAGUCGAGCCAUUUACUGCACAGGUACUUUUAGAAACCUGCCACCCCUGUUCUGCAGCCAGGAGUAUAUUGUUAAAUAUGCCAGAGCUAGCUGGUGUAGGAGCAGCAGCAGCAGUGGUUACAUGUUGGAUCACGGGUGUUAGCUGACGACGGAGCCACUCUGGCCCACAGCUGGUUCCCCUCCAACUGGAUGAUCUGCUUCUUCCUGACUCCAGAGACCAGAGGGAGAGGCUGAAAAACCCAGAUGGAGAGUGAGAGCGGCAGAGGCAGACGGGUAGAUGGGUGGACGAGUAGAAGGGGGUGGAGAAACAGUCGAGGGAGAGUGUGAGUGAGAGGGGAAAAAAAGUGGGGGUGUGUGGCGUCAGCACCCAGAUGCAUCACAGCCACUCGCCGCAGCGAUGUGUGUGUUUGUGGAGGGCGUGCAUGCGUUUGUGGAGCCCAAGGACUUGUCGUCUGUCUGCUGCUGGUUGUGGCAGCCAGCUGUCAGGGGAGCUCAGGGAGAGAGAGGAGGCCAGGUGAAAGGAGGGCCAGCGGCAGACGAGGACUGGAGCCAGUGCUCAUUCACUCCAAAUGAAUGGUGACAAGAGCGCGAGAGCCAUUGAUCCACUGGUCAAAGCACCCCUAAGGCUGCAACCUAAUGUGCUGAAAAAAGAAACAUCAGCCCCAGUUGGGGCUCUGGGAGGGAGACAGUCCUCAUCAGAUGAAACACACCCUCCACACAACAUGAAGGAGAUCAAUAGACAGAGCUGGUGGAGGUGGUCAUUCAAUACAUUUACAUCCAUUAUGGACAAAAUCAUAUUAAGAAUUAUAUUUUGACAUGCUGUAGUGAGACAUAGUUCAUAACGUUAAAUGAGUGAAUACAGAUUACAGAAUAGCAGGCUCU